GCGGGGCGACGCAGCUGGGCUGCAACCAGCUCCUCCAGGGACGGGUAGUGUGACGUUUGGGGUCAGAACGCACCACUUUCGGGCACCCCCACUUAAGAUUGCUCAACUGCUUUGAGCUCAGAAAGCAAGGUGUAAAGGUGGGGGAAAAGCACUUUCGUCUCAGAAUGGCAGCUACUGGUAUGGAAAAGCUGGGGCCCUUCGCUGGUGUGAGUCCUGAGGAUGUCUAAAUGGAACGUGCAUCUGCUACAGGCUCGCACUUUCCUUUAUUGCGCUUCCCAGACUUCCUGCUGUUGUAAGCAACCACUACAGAUUUCUCAGAAGUACUGCGGCAAAUAAAAAUGAUUGAGAAUCAUUAUACAUUUUCUAUUCUACUAGAGAGACAGUUUAAAAUA